rnacentral:rRNA from 1 species
UACGGAGGGUGCAAGCGUUAAUCGGAAUUACUGGGCGUAAAGCGCACGCAGGCGGUCUGCUAAGUUUGGAGUGACAGUUGGUGGCUUAACUGCCAAAGUGCUUCGAAAACUGACAGACUUGAGGGCUUCAGAGGGACACGGAAUUCCGGGUGGAGUGGUGAAAUGCGUAGAGAUCCGGAGGAACACCAAAGGCGAAGGCAGUGUCCUGGGGAGUACCUGACGCUCAGGUGCGAAAGCCAGGGGAGCGAACGGGA